ensembl:lncRNA
CUGGUCUAGAGGUAUGUCUAUCCAGGAUUUAUGUCUUGCUGCUGGCUGGUCUUCCCAGAACACAUUGACCAGGUUUUACAAGCUGGAUGUACCCUCUGUACCGUCACAUGUACUUUCGACACAGGUCGAUGCUGGAUUUGCAGAGAGACUGAGAUUAAAAUGCAGUGCUGUCUAUAUUGGAUCAGACAGUAAUGGCGCAGCACACUUAUGUGAAGUCGAACUCUGUGAUGCCAAACAACUUCCCAGUGCAAAGGAUCAUGGGGGCCCGAAGUGUCCAUCAGUUGUACCCUUCGAAAUCCUUCAUUCCGAUGGGCCCUUUGAAGUGGCCAGUUUUGAGCACUUCGGUUUGGAACGACCCUUCAAUAUGGCGGCCACGAUUGUUUACACUCCAAAGUGCCCUUCGGAGGGCAAUAUAUCCUGUUUGGAACACACCGACCGUCUUUACUGGUAAAUCACUGGUAAAUUACUGUCAAGCGAUCGUGUGAACAGGACUUUUUCAAUUUAGCAGUAUGAGAAGUCGUAACAUUAAGACGAGCAUUUGUGGUUAAAAAGUAUCUACAUUUUUAUUUAUUUAUUUUUUAGAAAAUGGCAGAUCAUUUCGCUAGUUAGGACCCUUAUUCCUCAGCUGGGAUUGUGUAGUGCCCUUUGAAGCAGCACUGAAACAGCAGUUUGGACUUUCAACCCGCUGGCCACCAUAAGUCCAUUGUUUGGAGAAAAAUACUGGAAUAUUUUCCUCAAAAACCUUAAUUUCUUUGAGACUGAAGACAGAGAUACAGAGGACAUGAACAUCUUGGAUGACAUGGGGCAUGGUCUGAAGAUGAUCUGAGCCAAAUUUGGUGAAAAUCGGACCAACAGUCUAGGAGGAGUUCAAAAAUGUAGGUUUUCAACAUAAAUCAAAAUAGCAGAUGGAGGAUUGGGCAUUAAGGUAUAAUUGGUAUUGAUAUUCUCUGCAUGAUCCAAGGAAUUUAUGAAGAUAAGUCUUAGGGCAAUAGGCAAAAUUAAUCCAAAGUUAUUUGCAUUGUUUGAAAUUUCAUUGUAAUUUUUGACUGUAUGGUGGUGCUGCCAUGAAAUGUUUUGAGUACCUUCAGGGCAUGGUGCCAAAGACACAUACCAAGUUUCAUAACAAUAUGCCAAUGCAUUCAUAAAAUAUAGCAUGUUUUGUCAAAAUUCAAAAUGGCCAACAUGGAAGAAUUGGGUACCAACUGACAUUCAACAUGCUGCUCCAAAUGUAAAGAGACCAGUCUUGUGAUUUUUAGCCUAACAAUUCAGAAGUUAUAAGCAAAAAUAUAACAUUUUCAUAACACCUGACCACUAGGUGGCACUGUGCUGAAACUGGGCAGAUAACCUCAGCUCAUGGUUGUCAUGACACACAACAAGUUUUGUCUGAAUAUGCUAAAGCGCUGCAGAGAUACAGCCUCACGUCCUCUUUGGCAAGCUCUUUGACAAAUUUGUUUGUACAUUAUUCUGAAACAGUUUGACUGAUAAACUUGAUUUUCAUGUCUUUUAGCCGACAUUUUCUGAAGAUUAUAUGUUUCGUUUUUGCAAAAAUCGGACUAAUGAUCUAGGAGGAGUACGAAAAAGUAGUUUUUUCAAAAAUUAAAAAUGGCAGAAAAAUUUUAUGAUGGAAAAUGACAUCACAUAGUGCAUUUGAAUCAUCUGGAGUCAAGGAGAAAUAAUAAAUUGGAGAGAAAAAAUGAUUUAGCUUCUAGCCCUUAUGGUCGAAAAGGUAUUAGCACAAACAUGCGUGCAACUUUAGAUAAGUGGUGCCAUUAGAGGGUUUGAGUUAGAGACUCCAAAUUUGGUAUAGUUAAUGUUCAGGCUGUCCUCUAUCUGUGUGCCAAAUUUAACAGCUUUUUACCAUAUGGUUCUAUGGGUUGCUAUAGACUUCCGGAGUGGAAGAAGAAGAAGAACACUAACAGAUUCAGUAGGUGCCUGUGCACCUUUGGUACUUGGCCCCUAAUAAUGCAAUCAUCAAACAAUAAUAUAAAAGCAUCCUACCGAAUGAAAUGUUGACCCAGGGAGUGGGCUGUGCCAGCUUUGGAGGUGUGGAUGGAAGCAAUCUACUCUAACAUUGUUCCGAAUCCUAUCCGGAUGUAAUCUGAAAAAAAAAAAAAAAACAUGAUUUUCUUAGCUUUUUGUUCAAAAAGUUGCUUUUUUAUGAAGCUUAGCACAUUCAAAUGUUGUUUUAAAGAAUGAAUGUAUAAAGCUGGAUUUUUUUUUAAAGAAGAAGC